GACGUAGGGCGCGAGCGUUGUCCGGAUUUAUUGGGCGUAAAGAGCUCGUAGGCGGCUUGUCGCGUCGACUGUGAAAACCCGCGGCUCAACCGUAUGGUCUGCAGUCGAUACGGGCAGGCUAGAGUUCGGUAGGGGAGACUGGAAUUCCUGGUGUAGCGGUGAAAUGCGCAGAUAUCAGGAGGAACACCGGUGGCGAAGGCGGGUCUCUGGGCCGAUACUGACGCUGAGGAGCGAAAGCGUGGGGAGCGAACAGG
rnacentral:rRNA from 1 species